rnacentral:rRNA from 1 species
GACGAACGCUGGCGGCGUGCUUAACACAUGCAAGUCGAACGGAAAGGCCCUGCUUUUGUGGGGUGCUCGAGUGGCGAACGGGUGAGUAACACGUGAGUAACCUGCCCUUGACUUUGGGAUAACUUCAGGAAACUGGGGCUAAUACCGGAUAGGAGCUCCUGCUGCAUGGUGGGGGUUGGAAAGUUUCGGCGGUUGGGGAUGGACUCGCGGCUUAUCAGCUUGUUGGUGGGGUAGUGGCUUACCAAGGCUUUGACGGGUAGCCGGCCUGAGAGGGUGACCGGCCACAUUGGGACUGGGAUACGGCCCAGACUCCUACGGGAGGCAGCAGUGGGGAAUAUUGCACAAUGGGCGGAAGCCUGAUGCAGCAACGCCGCGUGCGGGAUGACGGCCUUCGGGUUGUAAACCGCUUUCGCCUGUGACGAAGCGUGAGUGACGGUAAUGGGUAAAGAAGCACCGGCUAACUACGGGC